CAGAAGAUAGUUUAAUAAAAAUACUAGUUUUGGGGGCUAGUGAUGAUGGGUUAACCCUUCUCUUUUGA
rnacentral:tRNA from 1 species